CACAAGCGGUGGAGCAUGUGGUUUAAUUCGAUGACAACCGGAGAACCUCACCUUGGGUUGACAUGUACGUGGUACGGAUCUAGAAGGUGAAGGACGGUACCUUCGGGUACCGAGCGUACACAGGUGCUGCAUGGCUGUCGUCAGCUCGUGUCGUGAGAUGUUGGGUUAAGUCCCGCAACGAGCGCAACCCUACGCUGAGUUACCAGCACGUAAAGGUGGGGACUCUCAGUGGACUGCCGGCGACAAGCCGGAGGAGGGUGGGGACGACGUCAAGUCAUCAUGGCCCUCAUGUCCAGGGCGACACACGUGCUACAAUGGCCGGCACAACGGGAAGCGACGGCGCGAGUCGUAGCGGAUCCCUCAAAGCCGGUCCCAGUUCGGAUUGCAGUCUGCAACUCGACUGCAUGAAGCCGGAAUCGCUAGUAAUCGUGGAUCAGCCAAGCCGCGGUGAAUACGUUCCCGGCCUU
rnacentral:rRNA from 1 species